AUUGAACGCUGGCGGCAUGCCUUACACAUGCAAGUCGAACGGCAGCACGGGAGCAAUCCUGGUGGCGAGUGGCGAACGGGUGAGUAAAGUAUCGGAACGUGCCCAGUCGUGGGGGAUAACGUAGCGAAAGUUACGCUAAUACCGCAUACGAUCUAUGGAUGAAAGCGGGGGAUCGCAAGACCUAGCGCGAUGGUAGCGGCCGAUAUCAGAAUAGGUAGUCGGUGGGGUAAAGGCUCACCAAGCCGACGAUCUGUAGCUGGUCUGAAAGGUCGACCAGCCACACUGGGACUGAGACACGGCCCAGACUCCUACGGGAGGCAGCAGUGGGGAAUUUUGGACAAUGGGCGAGAGCCUGAUCCGGCCAUGCCGCGUGCAGGAUGAAGGCCUUCGGGUUGUAAACUGCUUUUGUACGGAACGAAAAGGUUUGGGCUAAUAAGCUGAGCUCAUGACGGUACCGUAAGAAUAAGCACCGGCUAACUACGUGCCAGCAGCCGCCGUAA
rnacentral:rRNA from 1 species